AUGCUCAUCAAAUUUCUGUUCGUAAAUAGUCGCCCGUUCAUUUUCCAUCCCAGAUCAAUUGGUAGUGGUUUUAUGGAGCACUGUGUUGAGAAGGCUUCUGAGGCCUUGUCUGGGCUCAGGAGGAGGAAGUGGGAUGGUCAGUCAGUGAUGCCUACCAUGGGUCCCCAUAGCAGAGAGAGGCAGCACCCAGGCCAGACUUGGGGCUUCUCAUGUGAACAGUCUCUUCCGAGCUGUUCCACACCCUCAGACCCUGUCACAUGGCUCUCAGUGGCAGUCGGUAUGGCUCACUUUCUCACUAAUGGCCAGAGACAACCAUAACCUCUUCCCAUGCAAAGAUGAAUAAUGUAAGAACGCUCUUCUUAAGAAGCUGUCAUCUGUAUGUAGCUGACUGAAAUGUGGGAUUUUGCACGCAAGGUGAAAAUCUACAUUCAGCCAAAG
ensembl:lncRNA